GAUGAACGCUGGCGGCGCGCCUAAUACAUGCAAGUCGAGCGAACAGACGAGGAGCUUGCUCCUCUGACGUUAGCGGCGGACGGGUGAGUAACACGUGGAUAACCUACCUAUAAGACUGGGAUAACUUCGGGAAACCGGAGCUAAUACCGGAUAAUAUAUUGAACCGCAUGGUUCAAUAGUGAAAGACGGUUUUGCUGUCACUUAUAGAUGGAUCCGCGCCGCAUUAGCUAGUUGGUAAGGUAACGGCUUACCAAGGCAACGAUGCGUAGCCGACCUGAGAGGGUGAGCGGCCACACUGGAACUGAGACACGGUCCAGACUCCUACGGGAGGCAGCAGUAGGGAAUCUUCCGCAAUGGGCGAAAGCCUGACGGAGCAACGCCGCGUGAGUGAUGAAGGUCUUCGGAUCGUAAAACUCUGUUAUUAGGGAAGAACAAAUGUGUAAGUAACUAUGCACGUCUUGACGGUACCUAAUCAGAAAGCCACGGCUAACUACGUG
rnacentral:rRNA from 1 species